rnacentral:rRNA from 1 species
CCCUAUGGAUGUAUGACCUCGGGAACUGAGAAUAAUGCCCGAUAGAACAUUAUGCCUGGAAUGGUUUAUGUUUCAAAUGAUUUAUCGCCAUAGGAUGGGACUGCGGCCUAUCAGUUUGUUGGUGCGGUAAUGGCCCACCAAGACUAUUACAGGUACGGGCUCUGAGAGGAGUAGCCCGGAGAUGGGUACUGAGACACGGACCCAGGCCCUAUGGGGCGCAGCAGGCGAGAAAACUUUGCAAUGUGCGAAAGCACGACAAGGUUAAUCCGAGUGGUUUCUGCUAAAGAAACCUUUUGUCAGUCCUAGAAACACUGACGAAUAAGGGGUGGGCAAGUUCUGGUGUCAGCCGCCGCGGUAAAACCAGCACCUCAAGUGGUCAGGAUGAUUAUUGGGCCUAAAGCAUCCGUAGCUCGUUUUGUAAGUUUUCGGUUAAAUCCAUGCGCUUAACGUAUGGGCUGCCGGGAAUACUGCAUAACUAGGAAGUGGGAGAGGUAGACGGUACUCGGUAGGAAGGGGUAAAAUCCUUUGAUCUAUUGAUGACCACCUGUGGCGAAGGCGGUCUACCAGAACACGUUCGACGGUGAGGGAUGAAAGCUGGGGGAGCAAACCGGAUUAGAUACCCGGGUAGUCCCAGCUGUAAACUAUGCAAACUCAGUGAUGCAUUGGCUUGUGGCCAAUGCAGUGCUGCAGGGAAGCCGUUAAGUUUGCCGCCUGGGAAGUACGUACGCAAGUAUGAAACUUAAAGGAAUUGGCGGGGGAGCAC